rnacentral:rRNA from 1 species
UCAGGAUGAACGCUGGCGGCGUGCCUAAUACAUGCAAGUCGAGCGAACUGAUUAGAAGCUUGCUUCUAUGACGUUAGCGGCGGACGGGUGAGUAACACGUGGGCAACCUGCCUGUAAGACUGGGAUAACUUCGGGAAACCGAAGCUAAUACCGGAUAGGAUCUUCUCCUUCAUGGGAGAUGAUUGAAAGAUGGUUUCGGCUAUCACUUACAGAUGGGCCCGCGGUGCAUUAGCUAGUUGGUGAGGUAACGGCUCACCAAGGCAACGAUGCAUAGCCGACCUGAGAGGGUGAUCGGCCACACUGGGACUGAGACACGGCCCAGACUCCUACGGGAGGCAGCAGUAGGGAAUCUUCCGCAAUGGACGAAAGUCUGACGGAGCAACGCCGCGUGAGUGAUGAAGGCUUUCGGGUCGUAAAACUCUGUUGUUAGGGAAGAACAAGUACGAGAGUAACUGCUCGUACCUUGACGGUACCUAACCAGAAAGCCACGGCUAACUACGUGCCAGCAGCCGCGGUAAUACGUAGGUGGCAAGCGUUAUCCGGAAUUAUUGGGCGUAAAGCGCGCGCAGGCGGUUUCUUAAGUCUGAUGUGAAAGCCCACGGCUCAACCGUGGAGGGUCAUUGGAAACUGGGGAACUUGAGUGCAGAAGAGAAAAGCGGAAUUCCACGUGUAGCGGUGAAAUGCGUAGAGAUGUGGAGGAACACCAGUGGCGAAGGCGGCUUUUUGGUCUGUAACUGACGCUGAGGCGCGAAAGCGUGGGGAGCAAACAGGAUUAGAUACCCUGGUAGUCCACGCCGUAAACGAUGAGUGCUAAGUGUUAGAGGGUUUCCGCCCUUUAGUGCUGCAGCUAACGCAUUAAGCACUCCGCCUGGGGAGUACGGUCGCAAGACUGAAACUCAAAGGAAUUGACGGGGGCCCGCACAAGCGGUGGAGCAUGUGGUUUAAUUCGAAGCAACGCGAAGAACCUUACCAGGUCUUGACAUCCUCUGACAACUCUAGAGAUAGAGCGUUCCCCUUCGGGGGACAGAGUGACAGGUGGUGCAUGGUUGUCGUCAGCUCGUGUCGUGAGAUGUUGGGUUAAGUCCCGCAACGAGCGCAACCCUUGAUCUUAGUUGCCAGCAUUUAGUUGGGCACUCUAAGGUGACUGCCGGUGACAAACCGGAGGAAGGUGGGGAUGACGUCAAAUCAUCAUGCCCCUUAUGACCUGGGCUACACACGUGCUACAAUGGAUGGUACAAAGGGCUGCAAGACCGCGAGGUCAAGCCAAUCCCAUAAAACCAUUCUCAGUUCGGAUUGUAGGCUGCAACUCGCCUACAUGAAGCUGGAAUCGCUAGUAAUCGCGGAUCACAUGCGCGGGGGGAAAAACCUUUCCCGGGGCCUUGUACACACCGCCCGUCACACCACGAAGAGUUUGUAACACCCCGAAGUCGGGUGGAGUAACGUAAAGGAGCUAGCCGGCCUAAAGGUGGGACAGAUGAUUGGGGUGAU